GACGAACGCUGGCGGCGUGCUUAACACAUGCAAGUCGAACGGAGUGGCGAACGGGUGAGUAUUACGUGAGUAACCUGCCCUCAACUGUGGGAUAAGCCUGGGAACCUGGGUCUAAUACUGCAUAGUUGGGGAUGGGCUCGCGGCCUAUCAGCUUGUUGGUGGGGUGGUGGCCUACCAAGGCGGUGACGGGUAGCCGGCCUGAGAGGGUGGACGGUCACAUGGGGACUGGGAGACGGCCCAGACUCCUACCGGAGGAAGCAUGGGGGGAUAUUGCACAAUGGUCGCAAGCUUGAUGCAGCGACGACGCGUGAGGGAUGAAGGCUUUCGGGUUGUAAACCUCUUUCGUUACAGAACGGGUAUGUGCAGAAGAAGCGCCGGCUAACUACGUGCCAGCAGCCGCGGUAAUAC
rnacentral:rRNA from 1 species